rnacentral:snRNA from 1 species
AGUGUAGUAUCUGUUCUUAUCAGCUUAAUCUCUGAUUUGUGACCAAUAGGUCAC